rnacentral:lncRNA from 1 species
CACAGGGCUAAGUGCUCUCAGCAAACAUCAGGCUGUGACAUGAGCAGAUGGAGUGCUCAAGUGCUAAACUAGACCUGAUUUUUAGGGAAAAGAAAAAAAAAAAAAGCAAAAGGCAGACCCAGAAUACAUCCCAAUUCAAUGCUCCAAUGGAAACGGGCUCUGUGUUUGAAGGAAGUUUUGGCAGCCCGUGAAAAUAGGAUUGAGGGAAGCAGCAACGGGACAGGAUCUCCGGCUUUGAAAUGUUGAUACAUAUUCAUCGCAGCUUCUAAGACUUGAAAGGCAUAGCUAAAGGGAGAGCUCUGAUCAACAAGAAUGUGAAAGCAGCAAGGAAAGCAGGAUACGUGGCUGUAAGCUCAGUGAGUAAGCAGCAUUUGAACAGUUAGCACAGUGAACAAGGCAACAGGAGAUCUGAAUUCUGGUUCUGGUUCUGUUGUCUCUGAUGGCUGUGGACAAGACUGUGUGCCUCAGCUCCUCUAGCUGCAGGAUAGAUGCAGCAGCAAUGCUUCAGCACU